AGAGUUUGAUCAUGGCUCAGAACGAACGCUGGCGGCAGGCCUAAUACAUGCAAGUCGAGCGCGCCCUUCGGGGUGAGCGGCGGACGGGUGAGUAACGCGUGGGAAUAUGCCCUUCUCUAAGGAAUAGCCUCUGGAAACGGAGAGUAAUACCUUAUACGCCCUUUGGGGGAAAGAUUUAUCGGAGAAGGAUUAGCCCGCGUUAGAUUAGGUAGUUGGUGGGGUAAUGGCCUACCAAGCCUACGAUCUAUAGCUGGUUUGAGAGGAUGAUCAGCCACACUGGGACUGAGACACGGCCCAGACUCCUACGGGAGGCAGCAGUAGGGAAUCUUAGACAAUGGGGGCAACCCUGAUCUAGCCAUGCCGCGUGUGUGAUGAAGGCCCUAGGGUCGUAAAGCACUUUCGCCAGAGAUGAUAAUGACAGUAUCUGGUAAAGAAACCCCGGCUAACUCCGUGCCAGCAGCCGCGGUAAUACGGAGGGGGUUAGCGUUGUUCGGAAUUACUGGGCGUAAAGCGCACGUAGGCGGAUUAGUAAGUUAGAGGUGAAAUCCCAGGGCUCAACCCUGGAACUGCCUUUAAUACUGCUAGUCUUGAGUUCGAGAGAGGUAAGUGGAAUUCCGAGUGUAGAGGUGAAAUUCGUAGAUAUUAGAAAGAAUACCAAUUGCGAAGGCAGCUUUCUGGAUCAUUACUGACACUGAGGAACGAAAGCAUGGGUAGCGAAGAGGAUUAGAUACCCUCGUAGUCCAUGCCGUAAACGAUGUGUGUUAGACGUUGGAAAUUUAUUUUCAGUGUCGCAGGGAAACCGAUAAACACACCGCCUGGGGAGUACGACCGCAAGGUUAAAACUCAAAUGAAUUGACGGGGACCCGCACAAGUAGUGGAGCAUGUGGUUUAAUUCGAAGAUACGCGCAGAACCUUACCAACACUUGACAUGUUCGUCGCGACUCUAAGAGAUUAGAGUUUUCGGUUCGGCCGGACGAAACACAGGUGCUGCAUGGCUGUCGUCAGCUCGUGUCGUGAGAUGUUGGGUUAAGUCCCGCAACGAGCGCAACCCUCACUUUUAGUUGCCAUCAUUAAGUUGGGCACUCUGAAAGAACUGCCAGUGAUAAGCUGGAGGAAGGUGGGGAUGACGUCAAGUCCUCAUGGCCCUUACGUGUUGGGCUACACACGUGCUACAAUGGCAUCUACAACAGGAAGCAAAACGGCAACGUUAAGCAAAUCCCGAAAAGAUGCCUCAGUUCGGAUUGCACUCUGCAACUCGAGUGCAUGAAGCUGGAAUUACUAGUAAUCGUGGAUCAGCGUGCCACGGUGAAUGCGUUCCCGGGUCUUGUACACACCGCCCGUCACACCAUGGGAGUUGGUUCUACCUUAAGGCAAGGUUUCAAACCCUUGACCACGGUAUAGUCAGCGACUGGGGUGAAGUCGUAACAAGGUAGCCGUA
rnacentral:rRNA from 1 species